rnacentral:rRNA from 1 species
UACGUAGGGGGCAAGCGUUGUCCGGAAUUAUUGGGCGUAAAGGGCGCGUAGGCGGGCGGCCAAGUCAGGGGUGAAAUCUUUCGGCUUAACCGGAAAACAGCUUCUGAUACUGGCGGUCUGGAGGGAGGUAGGGGCACGUGGAACUUCCGGUGGAGCGGUGAAAUGCGUUGAUAUCGGAAGGAACGCCGGUGGCGAAAGCGACGUGCUGGACCUUUUCUGACGCUGAGGCGCGAAAGCCAGGGGAGCAAACGGG